rnacentral:rRNA from 1 species
CGAGAAAGCCCGCAAGGGUGAGUACAGCGGCGCACGGGUGCGUAACACGUGGGUAAUCUACCCUGAAGUCCGGAAUAACUCCCCGAAAGGGGUGCUAAUGCCGGAUGAGACCACGGGGGCUUCGGCUCCCGCGGGAAAAGGUGGCCUCUGUAUACAAGCUAUCACUUCAGGAUGAGCCCGCGGCCCAUCAGCUCGUUGGCGGGGUAAUGGCCCACCAAGGCUACGACGGGUAGCUGGUCUGAGAGGACGAUCAGCCACACUGGAACUGAGACACGGUCCAGACUCCUACGGGAGGCAGCAGUGGGGAAUCUUGCGCAAUGGGCGAAAGCCUGACGCAGCAACGCCGUGUGUGUGAUGAAGGUCUUCGGAUCGUAAAGCACUGUCGCGAGGGACG